UGUCUCCUGCGGUGUUCGACAUUCGACAGGAACCCUUGAGCCUAAUUGCAAUGCAAAGGGAACCUCAACAGCGUAGGGAGUGCAGGCCCGCCCCGCAGCGGGAAGCCCAAAUACGUUGUCCGGUGCCCACUUGAGACGUCGUCUCAAGGUCGAAGUCUGAUGACGGCACAGGCGGGAGACAC
rnacentral:other from 1 species